rnacentral:rRNA from 1 species
UACGAAGGGGGCUAGCGUUGUUCGGAAUUACUGGGCGUAAAGCGCACGUAGGCGGAUAUUUAAGUCAGGGGUGAAAUCCCAGAGCUCAACUCUGGAACUGCCUUUGAUACUGGGUAUCUUGAGUAUGGAAGAGGUAAGUGGAAUUGCGAGUGUAGAGGUGAAAUUCGUAGAUAUUCGCAGGAACACCAGUGGCGAAGGCGGCUUACUGGUCCGGUACUGACGCUGAGGUGCGAAAAGCGUGGGGAGCAAACACGG